ensembl:snRNA U2 U2 spliceosomal RNA
AUCGCUUCUCGGCCUUUUGGCUAAGAUCAAGUGUAGUAUCUGUUCUUAUCAGUUUAAAAAGCAAGUAUCCCUUUACCUCCAAAGAAGUCCACUAGCUCUCCAGCAAUGGUUCUUAACCAGUCUGAAAUGACUGAAAUGAUAGAUAUAUAAUUCAGAAUCCGAAUGGCAAGGAAGCUCAU